UUCAGACCCAGAACCGUUACCGGAGCGACGGCAGGAGGUCGUCCCGCCUCCCUACCCUGUUGCCAAUCGAAAAGGCGUUGCCCGGGCGACGACCCCACCUCUUCCGGUGCGGACCCCGGCUUCCGGCAGGGGGCCCGGCGGCGGGCUGGCGGUCCGGCAGCAGCGGGGUCCGGGGCUGGGGUUGGGGGGGCGCCCAAGAUGGCGGCGGGCGGCGCGGAGGGCGGCUCUGGCCCCGGCGCCGCCAUGGGGGAUUGUGCGGAAAUCAAGUCGCAGUUCCGCACCCGCGAGGGCUUCUACAAGCUGCUCCCUGGCGACGGCGCCGCCCGCAGAUCGGGUCCGGCUUCCGCCCAGACCCCGGCACCGCCCCAGCCGCCGCAACCUCAGCCCGGCCCUGCCUCUGCCUCGGGCCCCGGCGCCGCGGGCCCCGCUCCGUCCCCUCCGCCUGCAGGCCCCGGGCCCGGGCCCGCGCUGCCUGCUGUGCGCCUAAGCCUCGUGCGUCUCGGGGAGCCCGACGGCGCCGGGGCCGGGGAGCCGCCCGCCACGCCCGCGGGGCUGGGCGCCGGGGGAGACCGCGUCUGCUUCAACUUGGGCCGCGAGCUCUAUUUCUACCCGGGCUGCUGUCGCCGUGGGAGCCAACGGUCCAUUGACCUCAACAAGCCAAUUGACAAGCGGAUCUAUAAGGGCACUCAGCCCACCUGCCAUGACUUCAACCAGUUCACUGCUGCCACGGAGACCAUCUCCCUGCUGGUGGGCUUUUCAGCCGGCCAAGUCCAGUACCUGGAUCUCAUCAAGAAGGAUACCAGCAAACUAUUCAAUGAGGAGCGGCUCAUCGACAAGACCAAGGUGACGUAUCUGAAGUGGCUGCCCGAGUCAGAGAGCCUGUUCCUGGCGUCCCACGCCAGCGGCCACCUGUACCUGUACAACGUCGGCCACCCGUGCGCCUCGGCGCCGCCCCAGUAUAGCCUGCUGAAGCAGGGCGAGGGCUUUGCCGUCUACGCCGCCAAGAGCAAGGCACCCCGCAACCCGCUGGCCAAGUGGGCGGUGGGCGAGGGGCCCCUCAACGAGUUCGCCUUCUCGCCCGACGGCCGGCACCUGGCCUGCGUCAGCCAGGAUGGCUGCCUGCGCGUCUUCCACUUCGACUCCAUGCUCCUGCGGGGGCUCAUGAAGAGCUACUUUGGGGGCCUGCUCUGCGUGUGCUGGAGCCCCGAUGGGCGCUACGUUGUGACGGGGGGUGAAGACGACCUGGUCACCGUGUGGUCCUUCGCCGAGGGCCGCGUGGUGGCCCGGGGCCACGGCCACAAGUCCUGGGUCAACGCCGUGGCCUUCGACCCCUACACCACGAGGGCGGAGGAGGCGGCGGCCGCGGGCGCCGACGGGGAGCGGAGUGGCGAGGAGGAGGAGGAGCCGGAGGCUGGGAGCACAGGCUCCGGCGGGGGCGCCCCCCUGUCCCCGCUGCCCAAGGCCGGCUCCAUCACCUACCGCUUCGGCUCGGCCGGCCAGGACACGCAGUUCUGCCUGUGGGACCUCACCGAAGACGUGCUUUACCCACACCCUCCCCUGGCCCGCACACGCACCCUCCCGGGCACGCCCGGCACCACGCCGCCUACCGCCAGCGGCUCGAGGGGCGGCGAGCCGGGCCCCGGGCCCCUGCCCCGCUCACUAUCCCGCUCCAACAGCCUUCCACACCCCGCGGGCAGCGGCAAGGCGGGCGGCCCGGGCACGGCGGCAGAGCCCGGCACGCCCUUCAGCAUCGGCCGCUUCGCCACGCUCACGUUGCAGGAGCGGCGGGACCGCGGGGCCGAGAAAGAGCACAAGCGCUACCACAGUCUGGGCAACAUCAGCCGGGGUGGCAGUGGGGGCGGGGGCGGCGGGGACAAGCCCAGCGGUCCCGCCCCCCGAAGCCGGCUGGACCCCGCCAAGGUGCUGGGCACCGCGCUUUGCCCGCGCAUCCACGAGGUGCCGCUGCUGGAGCCGCUGGUGUGCAAGAAGAUCGCCCAGGAGCGGCUCACGGUCCUCCUCUUCCUGGAGGACUGCAUCAUCACUGCCUGCCAGGAGGGUCUCAUCUGCACCUGGGCCCGGCCGGGCAAGGCGUUCACAGACGAGGAGACCGAGGCCCAGACAGGGGAAGGAAGUUGGCCCAGGUCACCCAGCGAGUCAGUGGUAGAGGGCAUCUCCUCCCAGCCAGGCAACUCCCCAAGCGGCACAGUGGUGUGAAGCCGUGGAUGUCGGAGUCCCCCCACACCACACCCCCAGCCUCCUAGUGUAACCCUUCCCGCUGAACUCACAGAUCAACGUAUUAACGAGACUAACCAUGACAGAUGGACUGCUCCGGUCCCUCGCCCUGCACAGAUUUGGGGGUAGAUGGUCCCUCAGACUGGCCCAGACACUGGGGGGAUGUAGUGGCCUGUGUGGCCUCCACCUCGUCCCCACCCACUGCCAAGUACAAUGACCCCUUCCUCCGAGACAUCAGUGUUAGCCUCCCUGUCCCCAGCAUGUGACUGGUCACUCCUGGGGGAGAAACUGCCCCCCACAAGAGCCCCAGCUCUGCAGUGUGCCCCUCCGUCCUGUGCGCAGGGCAGGGGGUGGCCCACCCCUCCCCUGGCCCCAGCCCUGCCCUUGCUGUUCCUUGUGCUUUUGAAGAGUGUUAAAUUAUGGAAGCCCCUUGGGGGCCCUCCCUGUCCCCUGGGACCUCUUAUUUAUACUAAAGUUCCCUGUUUUCA